ACGUCCCCAUCAUCCGGACCUCGACGGGAGAGCUCGCACCACGGCUUGUCUUCCACCACCGCGUCCACUUAUCUCCUAGGCAUCCGGAUCUCACAAAUGCCACUCUUGCUGCUGUCGCCAAGCCCACUCCCUGCCUCCCCCACCGGAGGAGGUUGACGAUUUCGACGUGGACUCUGGGACAUCAGAUAUAGAGUCGUCGUUCUCCUCUGGCGUCAUCGUCUUCCUCCCACGACCUGCCGCCUCAGCCUUGUCCUCCAUCACCAUUAUUUUCCCGCGUUGUCGCUUCUAUGUUUCUGCCGCGAUUUCCUCCCAUCGAGGUGACAACCAAGCUCCUAUCAUAAAGCCUCCCGUCAAGUUCAGUCAGGUGCCAUGGGGAGCGGGGAGAAAGAGAUGAAUUACAGUAGGAGAGCAAGAUUUCCAAGCAAGGGGACUAUGGGCAAUGGGGCGACCGAAGGGGCGCGGUGUACUAGGGCGCAUCAAGGGCCCUGAGGAACUGCUCGGAAAGCUCGACGAAAUACGGGACUAGAUCUCUCUAUGGCAUGAAGGAUGCUGCUGAUUUGUGAUUUCAACGGCAGUGAGCUAUCUAUUGUGGUAUAGGUGCUGUGCACGCCCAGCUUGUGUAUGCAUCUGGCAUGUAUGUGUAUACACAUGUUUUAUUCCUAGAUGGAGUGUCCAUACAUUCUAAUGAAGCCCUCUAUGGAGAUGAAAAAUUGGAUAAUGGGUAGAUGGACAAAGAUAACCAGAAUGACCACAAGACCUACUAUACAAUGUUCUUUCUUGGGGUCUUUCACAAAUUUAUGGUGCUUUUAUUGGAUCAAUACAGUGGCUCAUCGUAUGGAUGGUACAUGUUUCAGUUCAAUACAGUGGCUCAUAUACCAUGUCCGAUGAAUACAAGGAAGACGUCAUGAUUUGGAGCAACGAACCCAUGGUGAAAGGAAGAAAAUACAAGUUUGUCGUAAUGCCCUUGGAGCUAGAGUGUAGCCGCAGAAUAAAAUAAUUCUUUCAACUCAUACCCAUAUGUGCAAAUUUUUCAUGGUUGUGUUUGGUCUAUAGCUAUGAGAAAAAAUACCGAGUUGUUGAUUUAUAUGCAUUGUUGACCAAUGAAUAUUUUUAGCAAAAAAAAAGAACUUGAUUGUUUUUUAGUAA